UACGUAGGGGGCGAGCGUUGUCCGGAUUCAUUGGGCGUAAAGAGCUCGUAGGCGGCUGUUCAAGUCGAACGUGAAAACUCGGGGCUCAACUCCGAGCCUGCGUUCGAUACUGGAUGGCUAGAGUCUGGUAGGGGGAUCUGGAAUUCCCGGUGUAGUGGUGGAAUGCGUAGAUAUCGGGGGGAAUACCAGUGGCGAAAGCGGCACCCUAGCGUUAGCCUGACGCUCAUGUGCGAAAGCGUGGGGAGCGAACGGG
rnacentral:rRNA from 1 species